GCCGGGCAUGGUGGCAUGAGCCUGUAGUCCCAGCUACUCGGAGGCUGAGGCAGGAGAAUCGCUUGAACCCAGGAGGCAGAGGUUGCAGUGAGCCAAGAUCGUGCCACUGCACUCCAGCCUGGGUGACAAAGCGAGAUUCUGUCUCAA
rnacentral:SRP_RNA from 1 species